GACGAACGCUGGCGGCGUGCUUAACACAUGCAAGUCGAGCGGGAUCCAACCGGUGGCAACACCGGGGAAGAUCUAGCGGCGAACGGGUGAGUAACACGUGAGCAACCUGCCCCGAAGACUGGGAUAACACCGGGAAACCGGUGCUAAUACCGGAUGUCGUCAUUAGGCCGCAUGACCUGAUGAUGAAAGGAUUCAUCGCUUCGGGAGGGGCUCGCGGGCUAUCAGCUUGUUGGUGGGGUAACGGCCUACCAAGGCGACGACGGCUAGCUGGUCUGAGAGGACGACCAGCCACACUGGGACUGAGACACGGCCCAGACUCCUACGGGAGGCAGCAGUGGGAAUCUUGCGCAAUGGGCGAAAGCCUGACGCAGCAACGCCGCGUGGGGGAUGAAUGCCUUC
rnacentral:rRNA from 1 species